rnacentral:snRNA from 1 species
ACUCAUACCUUGCAGGGGAAAUAUACCACAGUCAUGAAAGUGGUUUUCCCAGGAAGAGGCUCAUCCACUGCACUUCAUGUAUGCUGCUGAUCCCUGUGAUUUCCCAAAUGUGGGGAACUCAACUGCAUAAUUUGUGUUAAUGGGAGAUUACAUUUGUGAUUUCCUU